ACGUGGAACAUAUUAAAUAGUAACUUGCGUACUAGAGAUAUAGGUUUGCUGUCUUUUAAAUCAGGUCUUAAACUCUACUACAAACAUGCACUAUCCAAAACUUUCAAAUGUGUUGAUCCGCGCACCUGGAAAUCAGUGUGUGUAAAGUGCAAAAGAGCAAGAUCGCUUAACAAUGUAAUAAGUUUCCGUUAUUAGCCUUAUUAGUUUUAGCUUGUUAAGUUGCUUGAAAAUUUGUGUUUUUGUGUUUGUUUUGUACAGUAAUUUAAUUCUUGUUUAUAUGGGAUCGCCGUAAUUGGGGAAACCUGAGGCGAAUUUCCUGGCUCUAUGUGUUGUAUUUAAAUAGUAGCCGAAUCUUAUUAAAUCAUUAAAUCAACUACUGGUAAGUUAAUAUAUACAGACAACAAUCCCCAUACUGGGUUGCUAUUGGAAUCUUAAUAUUAAUAAGCCUGCACAAGUAACACU